rnacentral:misc_RNA from 1 species
UCCGGUUUGUCACCGGCAGUCUGGCGUGAGUCCCCAACUUAAUGCUGGCAACACGCCACGGGGGUUGCGCUCGUUGCGGGACUUAACCCAACAUCUCACGACACGAGCUGACGACAGCCAUGCAGCACCUGUGGUGCACCCUCGAAGGUCACACGUUUCCGUGCGCUUGCAGCACCAUGUCAAGCCCAGGUAAGGUUCUUCGCGUUGCAUCGAAUUAAAGAACAUGCUCCGCUGCUUGUGCGGGCCCCCGUCAAUUCUUUUGAGUUUUAGCCUUGCGGCCGUACUCCCCAGGCGGAACACUUAACGCGUUGGCUGCGGCACAGGAGGAUUCGACUCCCCCCACACCUAGCACCCAUCGUUUACGGCGUGGACUAC